rnacentral:rRNA from 1 species
UACAGAGGUCUCAAGCGUUGUUCGGAUUCAUUGGGCGUAAAGGGUGUGUAGGUGGCGCUGCAAGUCGGGUGUGAAAUCUCUGGGCUUAACUCAGAGAGGCCACUCGAUACUGCUAUGGCUAGAGUCCGGUAGGGGACCAUGGAAUUCCUGGUGUAGCGGUGAAAUGCGCAGAUAUCAGGAGGAACACCGGUGGCGAAGGCGGUGGUCUGGGCCGGCACUGACGCUGAGGAGCGAAAGCUAGGGGAGCAAACGGG